rnacentral:rRNA from 1 species
CAGCAGCAGCCACGGUAAUACAGAGGGUGCGAGCGUUAAUCGGAUUUACUGGGCGUAAAGCGUGCGUAGGCGGCUAAUUGAGUCGGAUGUGAAAUCCCCGAGCUUAACUUGGGAAUUGCAUUCGAUACUGGUUAGCUAGAGUGUGGGAGAGGAUGGUAGAAUUCCAGGUGUAGCGGUGAAAUGCGUAGAGAUCUGGAGGAAUACCGAUGGCGAAGGCAGCCAUCUGGCCUAACACUGACGCUGAGGUACGAAAGCAUGGGGAGCAAACAGGAUUAGAUACCCGAGUAGUCCCUGUCUCUUAUAC